rnacentral:lncRNA from 1 species
AAAAACGAAUCCGCGCACGAAGCGACGGGGUCUCAGGCUCGCCGGAGGGCUCGCGAGUCGGAGCAGCAGCCUGCGAAUUUAUCACGAGCAAGUAAAACGAAGAUGUUGGCCCGAGUAAUAUUCCAUAUUAAAAUCCACACGUACGAGACACACGUGCGCGGAGGAACAUCGAAGAAGCUUUUCUCUCGUUCUCACGAGAUUAUUCGAGCCCGACUUGGCUCUCCUGCUCGAGUCCCGCGAUGCUUAUGAGCCCCGCGAAUUUUUCUCGCCGAUAAAGUAGUCCCGUGUUUUCCCGCAUACGACCGGGAAGUACACCGACUUCUCAAACAAUGUUCUCCCAGCCACUUUGAUUUUACCUCGAGAAUCAACCUGUCAAAGUCAACGAGGACUUUCCCCGAUAAAACGAUGAGAAGGCACUACAAAUAAUCUCGAUUGUAAUGACAACCGACUAACGAACAUCGAAGCUCUAUUAUCCCGGUGUUUUGUCCCCGUGUUUGUACACGAGCCUGUCCAUCCUCACUCGCAGCCAUCAAGCUUACUAUGUAGCUUUGUACUUUGUACUUAUCGAUGGAGAGUUUUGCUGCAGCUGGUGCGCGCGCAGAUAAUAGAGUGCCGAUUGGAGAUACAGCUCGGCUCGCCGCGCGCUCUCGUCUCUCGCGUCUUUUAUUUUGCUUCUGCUCUUUCUCUAUUUUCUCCUUUUUAUCUUCUGUACGAGAAAACUUCCGUAGCUCGUUUCAAUCUCGCGUGAUGCACACGGAGGCAGAGAGACUGCUUGUAGUGCUUGUCCUUUACGCGAAAUUGUAUAUCUAUGCGUCAAUCGCGCGCGAGGCUCGCGAGACAUAACCUCCAGGUGUGCGCAUGCGCCUCCGUACGUUCCGCGAGGCUUGUAGAGAUCCACGCAGCCCUCUCGCGGAGGCUUCCAUCACUCCAGUCAUUUGUUAGCUCAGAUAACCUCUAGUCCCUUUAUCAAAGAUGCCUCGACCGUGUUACGUAUUCUGUGAGCUCGAUUCUCCGGCUCCCGUGAGAUAAGGGAACUCUGCGAGGUGGAAACGUUUUUGUUCUUCCGGAGUUGCGGAAAAUGAGGAAAAACUUCUGUUCCGAGCCUCCCUGAAGUUUGCCUCGACGCUUUUUCGUCGUGACUCUCGUCACGCUCGAUCUGAUCGCACAAAAUGCGAGCACAAACGCCCGGACUCUUCGUUCUUUUUUCCAACGACGAAAAUUGAUGAGAGGCCAAACCUAACGAACCAAACGUUCGACGGCGAUGACCUCGAAGGAACGACUUUAAAGUGGGCUCCUUAUUACUGCGUUUAAUAAGACACACGAGCCUCCGGCAGCACCGUUGAGCAAACGUUUCGUCCGACCCCCCGGCCGUUUCGGUACGAAAUAUGCGCGACGCUCCGAGAGAAAAUGCCCAUCUCGAGGAUCGCUAAAGAGAUGAAAAUCGGAAUGGCUAUGCUGCACGCGAUCGGAGAACUAUACUCGCAGCCUUCAGCGAACAUCACAGCGCAACUUUGUUAUUUUUGGCUGGAAUUAUUAAAAAAAAAUGGACAAAAACUGCGUUGGAAAUAUGAAUGAAAUGAUGUCAAAAUUUG